rnacentral:lncRNA from 1 species
AUUUUCUUGUUUUCUCAUGUACUUUUCCCUCAGUUCAUUUAGGUGACCUGUCUUUAGUUCCUUGCUCUGCUCGCUGUAAUUGCUUCUUCAGAGUAAUGUUACACGGUGAGCGUGGCACUGCAGCCGGGGGAUGGCUUUAUGGGAGUGAUAAGGACAGCGGAACAGAACAGCAUUUGACUCUGAUAAGGGCAGGAGAACAGCACAGCCUUGCAGAAACAGAUAAAGGAUGUGACUUAGGCAAACAGAAGCCAUGCAAAAUGCAAGGAGGAGCCCAGCCCAGCUCUGCAAGGCUGGCAAAGCAGGAGCUGUGCACAAUGGUGAUGAUAUUGUGCUCACUGAAAAGCAGGGCUUGAGGAACAGCCCCCUAAAAAGGGCACUGGGUGUGAAAACCGACCCUAAAGAACCACCUGAGGACUCCUAUUAAGGGGUGUGACUAUGUAAAACAGACUAAUACACACGCAUCGCUUCUGGAAACAUUCCCAGUGGCUGGACUAUUCAUCAGGGCUGCUACAUCGCUGCUGCUGCUGCAAAGAGGGAAGUACCUUUUUCUCUUCCUCUUUAUUAGCAUGUGCCAUGGUGUGAGGCACAGCACCGGGGAGGGAACCCCACCGUGAGCGGCACUGGGUAAACACAGCCGAGGUGACAGUGACAGUCCUCAUCACAGAGUGUUAGCAAUUCAAACAGCCACGUCAGUCAAGGAAUUGGAGAGAAGGGAAAGCAAAAGGGAGAAUGUGACGGUUUGCAAACACUCCGCCGCACGAUUCUGUCGCAGGUGUUUCAAAGUUUUCUUCAUGUUAAGAAGGAAGAGGGGAGGAAAAAAAAUAUUGUUUGCAGAGGUGCAUCCAGUUUUUCCAUGCUUGGUGAUCAAAGUGGAUCAGCCUUUCUCAAGUUUCCCCUCUUGGAUGUGUGUCUGUGCCAGCAUCCGCUGGGAAUUGGCAUCAAGGCUUCCCUUUGGGCACCUGCAGAAAGCAUUCCUGGGAGUGCACUGCCAGAAGAAAAGUGCUGUGCCAGGCUUCAGACCGUUCCUCUUCCAGCCUUCUCCAUGUUUGUUUGCAUCAUGGGCUCCUUCCUCCCCACACAGCUUUGAAAAGAAAUGGACAAUGAAUGAAGGAGCUGGUUCUGGGGGACAGAGCUUUCUUACUCUGCGGUGCCUUUUGGUCUAUCACAAUCUUGAAGUGGGUAUCCAAUGUCUGGAUAAAUCUGCUGGAAAACAAUAGACAGCCAAUUCCAGUGCCUGGAUGAAGACAAAAACACCCAUCAAAGAAGGACAAAUGCAUGAAGUUCUGCUAAUUCCAAGAUCACCUGAGGGCAAGUUUAGCUGGUGCUGAUGCACACACAGCACCAGGGCUUUGCCAGGUGUCAUCUGCAAUUGGUUGUGAGUAGAAGGUGUUAAAAUGCAAGGGAUAUUUUUUGUGUGGGUGCUGGAGUGAGCUGAGUUUGAUGAGUCAUUGUUGAGUGCACGUUGGAGAAGUCAAUGCAGAGCAGGUGUUAUUGGCAAUUUUGGAGUGAAAGGCAGGAAGUCAAUUGUGGAGACUCCACUACAGCCUACACGGUGUGGAGACACUUUGUACAACAGUAAAAGUGCUAAUACCAAUGAGGACAUUGAUACACACACACAUUGCAAAUGAGCUUCCCCUUUACCAGCACAUUUCAAUUGUGCCCAUUUGCUUUGGUAUUGAAACAGUUACACCAGGCCACUGAACAUGUGAUUACGUUUUUCUCGCCUAUUAAAAUCCCUAUACGAGCCCAUGCUGAUUAGAGAUCCUAUUGUGUGUAUUUAGGGGGGAAAAAAGGCUCUGUAGUGGCUAUGCAUGAGACAGAGUGUGUUCUAGGAGCCAGAGGAUGCCCUGUAAUUUAUGAGAGACAAAGAGGUACAUUAGAUAUUGUUAGAAUACAUAAUAAUCCCCUGGCAAUAAUUUAUUUGGCUUGCAAGGUUAGGAUCUCCAUAAUUCUUGGUUGCACUCUAAUGAAGACUGCUGAUGCUGAUUAUAUAUUUUUGUGUACAUUAGAGGUACCUGUGAAUAUAUGGAUACUGUUCUUGCCUCCUGCCACCUCACUACUCACAGAGCUGCCAGUGGGACUAUAUUGUGUGGUCCAUUUGUCUAAAUAGUCCAGGCAAGUGCAUCAGCUGUAUUGGCUUCUUGUCAGUGGUUCUCUGUAACUUUGGGCCAUAAAAUGAUCCUCUGCAGGUUUCACCUGCUUUUCUCACGCUGUUAGGACACCCCUGGCUCCAGGGUGACUGACACAAACAUCAUCAGGAAGAAAGGGGUUUCAACAGGACAUGCUGUCCCUCUGCAAGUACAGACAAACCAGACUGAUGUUCCCCUGGAAAUUUUAAACUGGGAGCUCAAACCUGAUUAAUUUGUUGGUGGGAUGGUGGGAGAGAAAAGAGUGGAGGAAAUGGAAAAUUCAAAACUUUCCUUCCCCCCAGAACUCUGACUUUUCAUAAAAAUUUUGCUCUGAAAUCAGUUUAUGAUUCCACCUGUAAGGUCAUUUCCAAGUGAUUUAUUACCAUCUGACAGACCGCUCUGGGAUUUUUGGUGACACUACACAGGUCUUUUGAGCUUUAUGUUCAAAUUUAAUGGUGGUCACUGCAGCCAGAGGGAUGAAAAAUACCCAUUCCUUCACCACGGUUUCUUGUACUGGCCUCAGGGAUUAGAAAAGUAGGUCUUUUAUUUAGUUACACUGUCAGCAGCAAUUUGUAUGUGAGUUCAAUUGCUUGGUUUGGAGUUCAAAUAUUCCAGUCUGAAUACAGCUGUGUGGGCUCAUAAAGCAUCCCAAAAUCUGCUCUGCCCUGUGCCCCAUGUCUGCAUGGGGAAUUGUGGUGGUCACUGCUGGGUGUAAACACAGAGGAUGAGGUGGAAGGAAAGCCAGGGAAGAAAAGAAAUCCAUUUUGAUGGAACGAGAGGGAGAACUGGGAAUUCAUGGAUGAGAAUCUUGCUGAGGGCAGCACGGACCUUCCAUGGCUGGGUGUGUUCUGUUCACAUCCUCUUUAAGAAUCAUGGUAAGGAAAGGGUUAAAACUGUUUAACUAUAGGGCUUUUUUGGUGCAUAUUAAUUAGGCACUGCUCUGUUUUAUCACUGUAGUGCACUUUGUACAGCAGUUUUAAAAAUGCUCUGAGUAAUGUUUGCUAUGCUUCCUGCAACCUAAUCUGCCAAAUAAUUUAGGUUAUCCAUGCCACAGAAUUGACUUAACACUGGCAUAGAAAUUAGCCCUGAAGUGCUGCAAGAUCCCAGAGCUGCAGAUUAGGGGUGUCUGAUAAGAGCACAGGCCUAUCAUGAUUUUAUGCAAUGUUUUCAUGUAAUGGUUCUUCUGGUUUUGAAGGCAGUCAGCAUUUUGAUCACGGAGAUGCGUAUUUGAUCCUCACCACCAGAAAAGAGCCAUUGGAAAAGCCACACUGGGCAGGCUGGGCUUUGCAAGGCUCCAGUAUUAAACAGCAGAUCCUUGCUGCAGAGCUGUGUCUGUGGCCUGGAGUCAGGCAAGGUCACUCACCAUGGUAGUGACAGUAAAAAACCUGAAAGUUGUUUUUUUCCCCUUCCUGAUUUCCCAGGUGGUGCAAGGCACUGUGGUUUCUCUGCAGUUGGGUGAGGUUUAUCUGUUCAAUCCACCUCUAGAUCUCCAUCUCCUGUUUCAGAGCAAUAUUCCAUUCCAUUAAUUCUUUCCUGCUGAAGCUCAAUGCAUCUGGUCAGCUUCUGUGGUACAGGGUUCCACAGGAUAAUUAGGAAUGAGCAGAGAAGAAGUGAUCUGGAAAUUAUUAUAAUUAUACACCUUCUUGAAGGACUUUCUAUGGAAAGAGAUUUUUUUUCUUUGAGCAGAGCAUUAAAAUCGACAAGAUUCUUCCACAAGGAAUUUUCUAAGGUUUUUUUUUUCCCAUACUCUUGUCUUCCUUUCCUUUGGCCAAAGCACAUACCAUAACAUUUGCAUGUGCUGUUGCAGCACACAGCUCUUCUGAUCCCACAUCAGGUGUCAAAUCUUUAAUAUGAUUUCCUACAUGUUUGACUAAUCAAUGCAGAACAUCAUCAUGAAAGAUAAUUUUACCCUCUGGCACUUCAGGGACAGGAUAAUGAGGCCUGGUGUUUUCCAUUUUUUAUUCUUCCACAAGAAUCUACAUUUUUUAGUCCCAGCUAAUUGAUUUAAGUUCAUGGAGGAAGGUUUUUUUCCCUUUUGCUUCCAGUAUCUUGGAUAUUAAUGGAUUCUAGUGAGCUAGCAGAGCUGUGUGAUCAGUGUGUUUAGAGAUUCAAUACACUGCCAUCCUGACCUUUCAGAAGCCAAGGGAAAAACAUCAAGCCCAGCAUGUUGAUCCCACGUGAACACUGAAAUCUCAGGCAGCUUGGAGCUGCUUCAGCUGUCUGGAGAGAGGAGUUUUCUCCAGCAAGGGAGAUUUGCUCUCAAAUCAUUUGCCAAACAGGAGGGAAGUUUCUCUCCCAACGCAGUGAGAAGUGGGAGAUUGAAGGCAGAGGUGGAAGGAGAGGGGUGGAAACACUUUCAGAAGAGCUGGGGCACCCAGGUAUUGCUCUGGAGAGCCUGGGCAGGGAGCAUGGCAUGGCAGGGUGAGGGGUGACCAUGGAGCUUCUGCUCCCCUGGCUCCAGCAGGAGUCAUUAUCCUUUUUUGACAAAAAGGGGGUCAGGUUCUGCACUGAUUGUCUGUGGAGCUGAAGGAAUGGGACAAAGCCCUCUCCAGCAGGAGCUGGACUUUGUUCAUCUCAGCAAAAAUAUUUCUUAGUCUAAAUAUCCUUCCCAGAGACAAUGGGAGCUGUUGUUUACUGAUAUGACUGAUCAAACGUUUCCCAACCACUGAUAUUAUCUCUGUUGGCCAUGGAUCCACUAAAUCCACUGGAUGAGACCCAAAAAGAACUAUGUGCCUGCUGCACCAUGUACCUGAGGCUCUAAAAGGUGUGAGUUAGAUGUGUUUUUAUGAAUAACCCAUGCAUUUCUUCAGUAUUUUGCUAUCAUUAACUAGAGUUAUUCUUGUAUUAUUAUUUUUUUUUUAGGGAUGGCAGCAGCUUAUGACAGAUUUGUUUAGGGUUAGCCCUAUACAUAAAUUAAGUGGCAGAUAAAAUUUAAUUUUUCUUAUAAGAAAAGCCUAUAGCUCCUUAAAUUGCUCAUUUAACAUCACUGAAAAGUAAUACUCCACUUUAGAAUGGACAUCGUAUUAACUUUAAAAGGCCUAUUUAAAGUGACGGUUGUCAGUGAGUGAAAGCCAGAUAUGGUAAUUUCGAGUUACAAAUCAGAGUGAGGAAACUGGAGAAUGGACAACCUUGUUAACACAAGCGCGACGGAGGAAGCACCGGGGUCAGAGUGCCAGCACGGAGAGGAAUAAAGACACAGCACCAAAAAUAUGUCCUAUAAUU